AGCUCCAAUAGCGUAUAUUAAAGCUGUUGCGGUUAAAAAGCUCGUAGUUGGAUUUCUGUCAAGGACAACUGGUCCGCCCCUCGGGUGAGCACAUAGUUUGGUCUUGGCAUCUUGUUGGAAUCUGUUGCUGCACUUGGUUGUGUGGCGCAGCGUCCAGCACUUUCACUUUGAGGAAAUUGGAGUGUUUCAAGCAGGCACAUGCCUUUGGACACAGUAGCAUGGAAUAAUUAGAUUGGGCUUUUGCUCCAACUUGUCGGUUUCUGGAGCUGAGGUGAGAAUUAAUGGGGAUUGUUGGGGGCAUCCGAAUUUAGCCGUCAGAGGUGAAAUUCUUGGAUCUGCUAAAGACGGACAACUGCGAAAGCGUUUGCCCAGGAUGUUUUCAUUGAUCAAGAACGAAAGU
rnacentral:rRNA from 1 species